rnacentral:rRNA from 1 species
AACGAACGCUGGCGGCAUGCCUAACACAUGCAAGUCGAACGAAGCCUUCGGGCUUAGUGGCGCACGGGUGCGUAACGCGUGGGAAUCUGCCCUCAGGUACGGAAUAACUCAGGGAAACUUGAGCUAAUACCGUAUGAUGUCUUCGGACCAAAGAUUUAUCGCCUGAGGAUGAGCCCGCGUCGGAUUAGCUAGUUGGUGGGGUAAAGGCCUACCAAGGCGACGAUCCGUAGCUGGUCUGAGAGGAUGAUCAGCCACACUGGGACUGAGACACGGCCCAGACUCCUACGGGAGGCAGCAGUGGGGAAUAUUGGACAAUGGGCGAAAGCCUGAUCCAGCAAUGCCGCGUGAGUGAAGAAGGCCUUCGGGUUGUAAAGCUCUUUUACCCGGGAAGAUAAUGACUGUACCGGGAGAAUAAGCCCCGGCUAACUCCGUGCCAGCCGCCGCUGUAAUAC